rnacentral:misc_RNA from 1 species
UCUCCGUUGGUGAACAGCGGAGGGAUCAUUACCGAGCUUACGACUCCCAAACCCCUGUGAACAUACCUAUCGUUGCCUCGGCGGUGCCCGCUCCGGCGGCCCGCCAGAGGACCCCCAAACUCUUGUUCUAUACAGUAUCUUCUGAGUAACACGAUUAAACGAAUCAAAACUUUCAACAACGGAUCUCUUGGUUCUG